UGGAAUCAUAGUUAGAUUAUUAAAUAGGUUAUUGAAUAACUAUUUAAAUAUUUAAAUAUAGAUAAAUUAUUAUCUCAAAUAAAGAUAUAGAUAAGUAUCAGAUGAAUCUAUCCAACAUUUGAAUAUUAAUGAUAUUUGAACUCAAAUAUUUGGAAAAUGGAAUAAAUUCAAAAUUCCAAAUAGGAUAUCGAAUAAAUAGGUCCAAAUAGAUAUAGUCGUAUUUAUAAUUAACCAAAAAUUAUAUUACGAUCGUUCGAUAUAAAAUUUUAAUUUCCGCGAAAAGAUGCACCAUUCACAUUUCAUUUAAACGUUUCUCGAUUUUUUUAUUUUCUUUUAUUAUUUUCUAUCAAUAUUUCAAACACGACGUGUAGAGAUAAUUGCGUGUGUCGAUUAAACUGGGACAACAGCCUGUAUUCUAUUUUUCACUCUUCCAUCGAUGAACAUCGAUUGCAACCCACGCACGUCCCUCUGACAAUUUAUAAGGUUUUUCAACCCGUCCCUGAUGGAAUUCUGAUAUUUUUCGAUCCUUUGAAAAAUCCGAUUAUUUCGAUUUUUAUAGCGAAACAUACGUACGGUCAAGAAUGUAUAGAAAAAAGAAAAUCAAAAUUCUUUACAAAAGUUCAUAAUUCAAUUAAAAUUUACAAUCAGUCGGAAAAAUCUCCAUAUUUUAUAAUAAAAUUCAUUUAUAAUGAAUAUCUUGAAAAAUCAGAUUUCGAUAAAAAUUUGCAUAAUGAUGGAGCAGUUUAUCUUUCGAUGGAAAUUCUCUUUAAAUCGAGCGUGAAAUCGAGCUUCAAAUUUUUAUCAUUUUUUUCAUAUUAUAUGCGUAUAACUUUAUCUGAAAAUACUUUUUUUACAACAAGGUAACAGAGCAUUAAAAAACUCUGAAUAUUUUAUAGUUUAAAACGUUGUUCCAUCUCGUGUCAUUCGAAAAAAAAAAAAAAAAAAAAGAAAAUUUGAUUGUUUUCACUCCUUCGAAUGAUUUAAUUCCAUUAAAAAAUAAAUGCUCCAUAUAUAAAAUCCAUUAUACUACUCUAUUUGUCAAUUUAACUCGCUUAACGUGUACGAAAUCUUGUGUGACUGACCACUCACCUACAAAUCAUCGAUUCUGCAAAUCGAGCGAAACGUUCCAGCGAAUUAAACGUUCAAACAGAUAAUUCGAAUUAAUUCCGAUCGGAAACCGGAAGUCUUAGUUGAGGUACAAUUGCGUCCAAUUGUGGACGAUAAUUCGGUGACGAAACAACGGUCCAGUCCAAUAGAGGUAAACGAACUAUAUCGGUCAACCGCGAAUCAGACUUUUAAAUUUCGUUUCAAAUAAUAAUAAUAAUAAUAAUAAUAUGACAUGAACCAGAAGACUAAUUUUAACGAUAUAACCUGGGAGUAAAAUUUGAAAUAAUAGCUCGUUUCUGAUUUCAAUUAUCGGCGCAUUUCGAGUAUCGCGAGACGUUCGAAAUAUCAUUCCAUUCCGAAUUCUGUGCGCGAUCGAAAAAUGUGACAAGAAUGCCUCCGUGUCCUCUGCAAGACGAGACUAACGAGAUUUUGCUAUCUUAUUGGACGAUUCUGCUCUGGAAUUUUCCUUCUAAUCUUUCGCAUUUCGUUCGUGUCUUACAACUUUUCGCAAGAAUCGUUUUACGAAUUACGAAAGGAAAUUUCUGAUUAUCGUCCGUCCCCGCAAAAGUAUUACGGCGUGCAGUGAAUGUUGUUAAACCGUUCGAGGGAAUGACUGGUUCGAAGAACGAAAUGAAAUGGAUUUACCUUUUAAUCCACGCGCUUGGAAUACAGUAGCUUUGAAUUCGAAGACAAAUGUUUAUAAAUGCUUCGAAACAAUGUACGUUCCAUCCAUGAAAUCGCACCGUUCAAGUAUCGAAAUAUCGUAUACGCGCAAAAGUGAAAUUCCGUGUAAAUUGGAAUCUUUUGAAAUCUUUUGCCUCGCGACGAUAAAAACUGGAUGGGAAAUUGGACGAGCAGCGAUGAACAUUUCGGUAAAUUGAAUUAUUAUUCGUAGAAAGUUUACGCCUGUGUGAUGAAAUCGAGCGGCUUUAAUUAAUACGCUCGUUCCUCGAUAAUAAUCACGGAAUGAAACGAUUUCGACGAGUGGUCGAGUAUCACGCGCGGGUAGAGUGCACUUUACGGGAGAUUGAGCGGGCAGCAAUCGGGAUCGUGUUAAUUACGGGCUCUCGAAACGCGUAGUUGCGUUAAUGACGAGUUCUUCCCCGUCGCAAUUUCGAUGCAUCCCUCCCCUCUAAAAUCGAAACGGUAAAAACCCUUUGAACGAUUAUCCAAUUGUCGAAUUUGAAUUCUUUAAAUUCUUCGUAUCAAAGAUUUUAACUCCAAAUUUCCGAAUCGAGUUGAUAAAACAUCUGAUAUAUAUACAUGCAAAUUGUAAUAUUCUCUGAUGUAUGCGAAUUGUAAUUUUAGAUUAUGAAUAAUCGAAUUAUUAUCAUUCCCUGAUUAAUAAUAAGCAAUUUAUUCAUUCUCGAGAAAUUUAUUUUGUUUCGAGGUUAGGAGAGCGUAACAGAUAGUAUCAAUUUAUCCUACGAAGGAUGAAUUGUUCCAAGAAUUCGUCUUCCCUUUUUUUUCUUCUUUUUACAUACAUAUUCAACGCAGGCAAACUCUAGAACGUUUUGAAUUUUAUAUACCAAAAAAUCGAUAUCCUUUUACUGGAUAUUCUCUUUUUUUUUUCUUUUUUUCGGUACUACGUUCAAUACGUUAACAAGAUCGAAUAUACGUUAUAUCGCUGUUUUUUUAAAAAUUCGUUAACAAGUACAAUUCACUUUUUGAUCGAUCGUGUAGAAGGAAAAGAUGGCGAAAUCCAGACGGCGUUACAUCACUGUCGAAAAUUCGUUUUUCGAGCGUCAACCGAGGAUUGCGCGUCAUCCGACAGGAGAUAGAAACGAAGACGAAAAGCCUCGCAAUUUAGGGGUUCAAUCCCCCCCUCCGCCCUCCCCCCUUGAUUCUCUCGUACCCCUCUGGUGCACGAGACCGACGGGCUACAUUUCGCAAUUUGCUUGAGCAAACCUUUCCAGAAAUUCAUAUCCGUCGUUCCUCCCUCGAAACGUUUCUUUCUCACCCUCUGUCGUGCUUAAGCCGAAUACUCGUGUCUUCUUUUCUUUCGUCAGGAGUCACGCUGCGUCCUUGCCCUCGCCAAUUACUUUUGGAUUGAUUCAAGCAGCCAACAACUUUCUUUUUCAUCUCUCCCCUAUAUUGCAAUUUCCGAUUCUUCUGAUGAAACUUUUCAAGGUUAUGCACUUGCGUACACUUGCACGGCAAUUCCUUUCAGUUUUUUGUUUUAUAUAUAUAUUGGAAAGUCUCGGAAUGUAGAUCAGACUUGGCUUCGAAUUAAAGAUUAUGAUUUUAGAUAAACUUUCACGAUUUAUAUCCUAUAUAAAUUUUGGUAUAUAAAGUCAGGAGCGAAUUCAGGAGUAAUAAAUAAGAAAGUAUAAAUAAGAAGUCUUUGGAUCCCUGUUGAAAGAUGACCGAAAACAAGAUUGGCCAUGAUGAACGGCUGACCCACAAACCCCCAUAACGCGAUUAAUCACGGUACCUUUGAGCCUCCUCCUGCCCCCCACUUGCCACGUUCCGCAAACUCGCCGAAUUUCCGCCCAUAAUUUCCGUAUCCGGUACAAAGAGACGGCGGGGAUCACGGCACACAGAAGGAUCCUCGCGUACGUAAAGAUAGAGCGUACGUAGCAAUCCUGGAAUCCUCUCAAAGACGUGACGCUUUGAGCAGAACCCCUCCCCCCUCCCUCCAUGCCAACGAUGCAACGCGAUUACGGAUUCGAUUUUCGAACGCGACUCGAAUCUCGAUCGAAUUUCUAAUCCGAUCCCUCGGCCGAGAACGUACAAGGUGUCCCAGAAAUGUUGCACAACAACUUUCGUUCACCGGUUUGUUAUCGACUCGAAAAAAUAAAAAAGAACAUUGGAAAAGAUAAAGAUAUACAAGUGGAAGCACAACGCUCCACUCGGAUAGAAAAGUACGUUGAUCAAUGUUAUUCGAUUGCUUGCACUUGUUCGUGCUCGAUCGCAGCUCAUAGCCAACGCUACCGUCGAUCGGUAGUUGUUUUAUUAAUAACUUGUGUAAUGAUAGUUUUUUGGAGGAAGGGAAAUGUUGGUUGAAAUUUAUCGAGACACCUUGUAUAUAAGCGAGAUCUGUGACACGGAUCGCGUUUGGCCGCAUUUGGAAUUCUCGAAUGGGGAGAAACCGAUCUUCCAUCGGGCUCCUUAUGGUGAUGAAAUUGAAGCGGUGGGCGUGACCGGUUCCCUAUGAAAUAUAUAUAUAUAUAAAUAAUACUUGGAUCGAAUUUCCACCGACUUCUGGGGAUCUGUACUUUCUCGUGUGUCUCGUUUCGCAAUUCGACUCCCCCUCCCCCAAGUUCUGGAAGAUCGGCCAUCUACUUUCGAAUUGGCCCGAAAGAAGAAUUUUCUCCGGUAAUAAAUUUAAUUUGGUGUUAAGCGGUUUAAGUUUCGAAUCGAUCGAUAAGUUUUAAUCUGGACUUGGUCCGGAUUUGGCUUAAUCGAGAUAAAUGUAGGCUUUUUGUUUAGAAUUGGUUUAUUCAGUAAUGCGGAGAGUGGGCUAGAGGUGUGGAGUUAAUCAGGAAUUGGCCGAGUUUAAUCUAGACUUUAGGCAUCGUGGAUUCGAUUGAGUCUGAUAAAACUAGUCUUCGUUUAGACUUAAAGAUUUAACGUGAUGUAGAUCCAACCCGAGAAUCGAGCAAGUUUGAUCCAGAUGUAAUAUGAAUUUAAUGAGAUUUAUUGAUAAUUUGAGAUAAUAUUAAAAUUUUAUGCGGAACUCUAAAAAAUUUAACUGUAUAAUUUUCGACUUGAUCAGACUCAAAAAUUUUAACUCAACAAGCAUGUAAGAAACUCAAGCGCAUUUUGAAAACGUAAGUCGAAGGCGCAUCUAUCGAGAUUAUAAGAAAAAUCGAGUCUAGGUUUAAGUGAUAAUCUGCAUACAACUGGAUUCAACCAGAUAUAAUAUGAUCGAGCUCAAUCUGGAGCUAACUAGGCUUAGUUUAAACUUAAUCAAGCCUAAUCUAAGUCAAACACGCCUAUAGUUCAGAGUUAACCAGAUCUAAUCUAAGGUCAACCGAUCUUAAUCCAAAUGUGACAAAACUAAAUCUAGACUUAAACGGAUCCAAUCUGUUUCAAUUUCACCAGCGUAGGUACAUAUGUACUUGUUCCUUCCUAACCUAACCUAACGUAAUCUAACGUAACCUAACCUAACCUAACAUAACCCUGACCCUUACCAUUCCGAUUAACGAUCCCUGAUAAGGGUCCCUGAUCGUGGAAUUAACCGAGAUUCGAUGGAAGAAAUACGUCGAUCCCUUCGCUUAAUAGCGAGUAUACGACGACACGACCCGCGUUCCAUCAGAUUUUCCCGAUGCUGUGGCGGUCGAUUACAUCGGGAUCAAAUACGAUAACGAGGUCCUUUACCCAGUGGGAUUAAAGGGAGAGACGGUUGGAUGCCUUUUGCGCAGCUGGGGAGAGAGAGAAGAGAGAGAGGGUCUUCAAUCGCGCACAGGUUUACUUAUUCUUCACGCUUGAUGAGAUUGUUCUGCUUGGAGGAUCGGGUUUCCACGCCCGUCUCUGGAAAAAUCUUGAACUUCUUUUUCCCUGUCCAUGAAUCGAACCGCAUUACCGGUUGAAUCAUCUUAAAUUGGAACGCUGUAAACCGAUUUUUAUUCGUUUCUUUCUUCACUUUGUAUAGGCCACAAAUGAAUAUCCCAUGAUUUAUCAAGAUUAACAUUCGUUGCAAUGUAUGACUUUAUGGAAACUUUAGAACAACGAUGUUACGAACGUUUGUUCGUAUUGUUAAAACGUAUCAAUGUUUAACUAAAAAGAAUUUAGAAGUUGGAAAUAUAUAGUUAGGAAAUUCACGAUAGAAGAUGAAAAGUUUAGAUAUACGCUUUACGCGGCAAAGAUCGCAUCGGUAUAAUAGAAAUCUUCAUUAUUCAUGGAGCUAUGAGAAAGACUAUCUGGAAAGAUAAUUCGUGGCCAAGAUGGCGACCCGUACGUGACGCCAGUUUUGUCGAUCAACGCCGUGCUGCCUCAAAAGCCGAAAUUUCGGGGGAAAAUUCUAUUUUUCAAGUGCAAUUUUUCAAUUAUUCCUGGAAAACUCGUCCGAAUAAAGGAGUGGGACGUUGGUGUGGUGUGACAGGAGCCGCGAAGAACGUUAAUUGUAUCGCCAGCGGCGGUUGCGAUAAAAUUACGAGCCAGGAGAAUUUCCCUUUGCCGGAUUAAAGCGGCUUUAAUGAGAUUAUCUCGUGUUUUUGACCCGUUCCCCAUCCUUUUAUCCAUCCGCGGAAAAGGCCAGUCUUCCAGACUCCUCUCUCUCUUUCUCAUUCAUUUGUUCUCUUCUUUUCUUUUUCUCGCUAGUUCGAUUUUGCUAUCUCUGUCUCUCUGUCCCCUCUCUCUUCCUCUCUACAGAGCUCACUUUACGUGCAACGCUCGAAAAUUUCCGAAGCUAUACUACACUCCCAGUUCAAUUUCAACAUCCCUGUGACCCGAUUCUAUCGUAUUCCAUGACGAAAUUCCCCAAGGGGCCCGAUUAAUCCCCACCCACACCGAACAAGUAAGAACCGAAACUCGUAAUCCCAGUAAAGGAUCCAUUCUUCACGAUUUUGACGAAAUGACCAAAUCAACUCUAUAAAUACUCUAUAAAUCCUAACCUAACAAAUCGUGAAAACUUGGUUUUUUAAAAAAAUCUCUGUUCGGAUCGGAGAGAAACAAAACGAAAGAGAAAAAAUGGAAGAGAAACAGAGAGAUAGAAAGAGAGAAGGAAGAAGAAAAAAGCGUGGAGAGAGUAAUUCCGGAAAUACCUUUGCAAAUCAGAGCAAGAGCCGCCCGCUUCUUAUUUCUGUCGACUCGAGCAACCAACCAACCUCUCCCCUUUCCUCUUUUCCACCCUUCCACGAUUUCUCGAGAAGCAACGAGGAGAGAAGAUAAGAAAGAAGACGAGGAGGAACAGCUGGUCCUUUGAGAAACGUCUUGUGUUUCCCCGUGCCGCUCGAGAGCCGCGAUGCCCUUUAUGCGAGCGUAUAUAAAAUACAUAAGGGCUCUCGAGGCUGAAGCUGCGCCGAGACAAGGUUUAUGCCGCAAUUGAACGAGUUCGAGCCGUACCCUGCCAACUUUUUCCCUCCUCAUCGCAGAAAAUGCGUUUCCUAGAGAUUUCGACGGAUCGGAACUAUGAGACCGGAUUUACGAGUCCUCGGUUUAACGAGUUGGGUGGUUGUGCACGAUUCUCUAUCGAUGCAGCAGAUUCGAAAGUUUCCUCGACCGAGUCUCGUUUUAAUCCUAGACUCUCUAGAUUCCCAUGAAAAUAUUUUGGACUACGCGUUGUAAAACUUAAGUUGGCGAAGUGCACUUUUGAUUUGAAAGGAUUUUUUCUGUGACUGAUGGUUUAGUGUAUUUUUAGAGGGAUUGGUUUUGUGGAGGUUUAUGUUACUUUUGAAUGUGAGAAUUUAUUCAAAUAUUCUUCUAAGUUAUUUGUAGUUAUAAGUUGGUAUUUAAUAGAUACAAUAUAUUUCAAGAAAUGAAGCGGAUUGAAAUUUUGAUAGGAUACAAGUUUAAAUAGAAUAUGAUAAGGGAAUUUUUAAUAUUCUUUUGAGGGAGAAACAUUUCAUUUAGUUUCUCAUUUCAAUUUAAAACAUAUGUUAUCAUUUCCCUUCUGAAAUAUUUAUAAGUUUUUUGCAAAGAUACUAAGAGAAAUAAAUUGAAUAAUUUUUUACAUUAA